rnacentral:rRNA from 1 species
CCCCUAGAUGUUCUGGGCCGCACGCGCGCUACACUGAACAGUUCAACAAGUCUUAACCUUGGCCGAUAGGUCUGGGUAACCUUUGAACGCUGUUCGUGAUUGGGAUAGACCUUUGCAAUUAUGGGUCUUCAACGAGGAAUUCCUAGUAAACGCAAGUCAUCAGCUUGCAUUGAUUACGUCCCUGCCCUUUGUACACACCGCCCGUCGCACCUACCGAUUGAAUGGUCCGGUGAAAUCUCGGGACGGCGGCUUGGUCGCUUGCGUCCGACUGCUGAAACUUGAUUAAACCAUAUCAUUUAGAGGAAGGUGAAGUCGUAACA